GACGAAGGAUGCAAGCGUUAUCCGGAUUCAUUGGGUUUAAAGGGAGCGUAGGUGGCCUUAUAAGUCAGUGGUGAAAUCUCGAGGCUUAACCUCGAAAUUGCCAUUGAUACUGUAGGGCUUGAGUAUAGUUCCGUUGGCGGAAUAUGACAUGUAGUGGUGAAAUACAUAGAGAUGUCAUAGAACACCGAUUGCGAAGGCAGCUGACGAAACUAUAACUGACACUGAGGCUCGAAAAGUGCGGGGGAGCGAUCCGG
rnacentral:rRNA from 1 species